GUAGGUGGCAAGCGUUGUCCGGAAUUAUUGGGCGUAAAGCGCGCGCAGGCGGUUCUUUAAGUCUGAUGUGAAAGCCCACGGCUCAACCGUGGAGGGUCAUUGGAAACUGGAGAACUUGAGUACAGAAGAGGAAAGCGGAAUUCCACGUGUAGCGGUGAAAUGCGUAGAGAUGUGGAGGAACACCAGUGGCGAAGGCGGCUUUCUGGUCUGUAACUGACGCUGAGGCGCGAAAGCGUGGGGAGCAAACAGGGAUUAGAUACCCUGGUAGUCCACGCCGUAAACGAUGAGUGCGAAGUGUUAGGGGGUUUCCGCCCCCUUAGUGCUGCAGCUAACGCAUUAAGCACUCCGCCUGGGGAGUACGGCCGCAAGGCUG
rnacentral:rRNA from 1 species